CUUCCACGGUUUCUGCGACUCAGCUAACGCAUUAAGUGCCCCGCCUGGGGAGUACGAUCGCAAGAUUAAAACUCAAAGGAAUUGACGGGGCCCCGCACAAGCAGCGGAGCAUGCGGCUUAAUUCGACGCAACGCGAAGAACCUUACCAAGGCUUGACAUAUACAGGAAUAUGGCAGAGAUGUCAUAGCCGCAAGGUCUGUAUACAGGUGGUGCAUGGUUGUCGUCAGCUCGUGUCGUGAGAUGUUGGGUUAAGUCCCGCAACGAGCGCAACCCUCGUUCUGUGUUGCCAGCAUUUAGUUGGGGACUCACAGGAGACUGCCGGGGUCAACUCGGAGGAAGGUGGGGAUGACGUCAAAUCAUCAUGCCCCUUAUGUCUUGGGCUGCACGCAUGCUACAAUGGCUGGUACAAAGGGCUGCAAUACUGCAAAGUGGAGCGAAUCCCAAAAAGCCAGUCUCAGUUCGGAUUGGGGUCUGCAACUCGACCCCAUGAAGUCGGAGUUGCUAGUAAUCGUAGAUCAGCAACGCUACGGUGAAUACGUUCCCGGGGCUUGUACACACCGCCCGUCACAUCACGAAAGUC
rnacentral:rRNA from 1 species